rnacentral:rRNA from 1 species
UACGGAGGAUGCGAGCGUUUAUCCGGAUUUAUUGGGCGUAAAGGGCUCGUAGGCGGUUCGUCGCGUCCGGUGUGAAAGUCCAUCGCUUAACGGUGGAUCCGCGCCGGGUACGGGCGGGCUUGAGUGCGGUAGGGGAGACUGGAAUUCCCGGUGUAACGGUGGAAUGUGUAGAUAUCGGGAAGAACACCAAUGGCGAAGGCAGGUCUCUGGGCCGUUACUGACGCUGAGGAGCGAAAGCGUGGGGAGCGAACGAGG